rnacentral:rRNA from 1 species
UACGAAGGGGGCUAGCGUUGCUCGGAAUUACUGGGCGUAAAGCGCACGCAGGCGGCUUUCUAAGUCGGGGGUGAAAUCCUGGAGCUCAACUCCAGAACUGCCUUCGAUACUGGAGAGCUUGAGUUCGGGAGAGGUGAGUGGAACUGCGAGUGUAGAGGUGAAAUUCGUAGAUAUUCGGAAGAACACCAAUGGCGAAGGCAGCUCGCUGGGACGGUACUGACGCUGAGACGCGAAAGCGUGGGGGAGCGAACAGG